CUGUGAGGAAAUUGGUAUUUUUAUUCUCAUUUUAUAGAAGAGAAAAAUGAGGCUUGAAUGAAUUAAAGUGUUUAAUAAAUGCUUGUUGCCUGUCAAACACUGAACUGUAUGGAGGCUAACACAAAUACAAAAAGUAAAUACAGACCUUGCCCUCAAGGAUUUUAGAUUCUAAUGUUGUUCAGUCAUUUCAUGACCUCAUAGGGGGUUUUCUUACCAAAGAUACAGGAGGGGUUUGUCAUUUCCUUCUCCAAUUCAUUUUAUAGAUGAGGAUAUUGAGUCCAUCAGGACUACAUGACCUGCCCAGGAUCAUACAGCCAGUAAAUGUCUGAAGUUGUAUUUGAAUCCAAGUGUUGGUGACUCCAGUGCCAGUGCUCUAUCCACUGUGCCACCCAGGUGCACACCCAUUCUAAUGGGGGAAACAAAAAGAAACCAACCAAUAGGAAUAAAGUAUAGCCGGACAAAGAUGGUAACAACAGCAACAGCAGCAGCUGAUGGAACUUUCACUGUCUCCUUACAUCCAGAGAAACAAGACGUGAUGAAUAGAAUGAACAGAGAGUGAGUCUGCCCAUCUCGACACAUACUGGCUGUGUGAUCUUCUGUCAGUCACUCAAUAAACAUAAAAUGCCUACUGUGUGCAAGACAUGAUGCUAAGUACUAGGUUUACAAAAAUGGUCAAGGGACAGAGCGAGCCCUCAAGGAAUUCACAAUCUGAUGGGGGAGACAACAGACAAAUAUCUCCAGAUUUAUAUAGGAAAAACUACUGCAGGAAAUAAUUAAAGGAGGAAACUCACUAGAAUGAAGAGGGAUUAGGAAAGGAUUUCCCCUAUAGAUAAGAUUUUAGGUGGGAUUUAAAGGAAGUUAGAGAAGCCUGGGCUUUCCAGUCGGCAAGGAUGAAGAAGGAGAACAUUUAAGGUAAAGGGGACAGCCAGAGAAAAUUACUGGAACCAAGAGAUAGCAAAUCUUGUUUGUGGGAUAAGCAGGAGGCCACUGUCACUGGAGUGAAGAGCACCUACUGGAGAAUAAGAUUUUAAAAAACUGGAAAGGUGGAAGGGGACUAUGAAGGCCUUUUAAUGCCAGACAGAGCACUUUGUAUUUGAUCUUGGAGAUGAUAGGAAGCCAUUUUAGAGUAUUAAGUAAGGAGAUGGUUGGACCCGUCCUUCAGGAAAAUCACUUUGGUGAUGAAUGGAGGAUGGAUUGGAGUGGGGAGAGACUUGAGGCAGGCAGAGCCUCUAGUAGACUUUUGAAAUAAUGCAGAUGUGAGGUGCUAAAGAUCUACACUAAGGUGAAGGCAGUGUUAGGGGAGAGAUGGGGGAAAGGUGAAAUUGAUAGACUUUGGCUUUGGGCUAGAUAUUGGGGAUGGGAAAGUGAGCAGUGCAGGAUGACUUCUGGGUUGUGAGAGACUCCAAAGAAAUGGUAUUGUUAUUUGGAACAGCGAGGUGGUGCAGUGGAUAGAGCACCAGUCCUGCAGGUAGGAGGACCUGAGUUCAUAUCUGGCUUAAACAUUGGACACUCCCUAGCUAUAUGAUUCUGAACAAGUCAUUUAAUCCUGAUUGUCUCACCAAAAAAAUAGUAAAUCCAUCUCUGCAUGUGAAAUGGAUUAAGGAGAAAGUGUCAGAAGACCUAUAUGUGACAUGAAUACAGGAAGAGGGCAUAAGGGGAGUUUAUUAUGAAUGAUAACAAUUUUUUUUUCAGUCCAACAUAAA
ensembl:lncRNA